rnacentral:misc_RNA from 1 species
CGGUGCUGCUUUCUGGUAUGUCUUGACCUCAAAGCUUGGAUGACGGGUGAUUGGGAUCUCUCAUCUUAGCAGGCUACCUCCAUGGGUUCAGCCUCACUGUCAUGGGUAUCAGCUAACAAAUCUACAGGCAGACCAUCUCUGGUGAGCAUGGCCUUGACGGCUCUGGCCAGUAAGUUCGACCUAUAUCCUCCCAAUUGAGAAAGCGGCGGAAACACGGAAAACAAGGAAGAAGCGGACGCGUGUCUGAUGGGAAAUAAUAGCUACAAUGGCUCCUCCGAUCUCCAGCUGGAGCGUAUGAACGUCUAUUUCAACGAGGUGUGUGGAUGAAACUCUUGAUUUAUACUAUUUCGGCAACAUCUCACGAUCUGACUCGCUACUAGGCCAACGGUGACAAAUAUGUUCCUCGUGCCGUUCUGGUCGAUCUCGAGCCUGGUACCAUGGACGCUGUCCGUGCCGGUCCCUUCGGCGAGCUAUUCCGUCCCGACAACUUCGUCUUCGGCCAGUCCGGUGCUGGUAACAACUGGGCCAAGGGUCACUACA